CAGCACAUGGAAGAGUACAAGUCUUCAGCCUUUUAGUUUAGAAACUGCAACUUCAUGGUCUCUAUAGGGCAUCACCGUUGAAGAUUUUGCUUAUGGGCCUGCUGAGUACUCAGUGUCACCUUUAUCUGUAGCACAUGGGAAAGAAGAAUACCGUACUCAAAGAUGAGAACAUCAAUAACUUUGGCCAAGAAUGUCACCCAUCACUGGUGCCAGAUAAGCGAAAUGGAUCAAGAGGUAAAAAGGACAAGCCAGAAUGACCCCAAAAGAUGACCAUCAGGUGGCAAUGAGCAUGUGUGAAGAGUGAGGACAUUAUGGAAAUCAGCUCCAAGAACUGAUUGUAAUAACCCCACCUAUUCAUAGAACUAUGGGUGUUAAUCCUCUCCAUGUAGUGCAUAUGUAUGGUUUUGAGGCAUAAGUAGCUACCUGAACAGGUGCAAGGUGUGCAGUUUUGGUGUACCCAGUACCGUAAUAAAUGUACCUUCUCCACAA